CCAAUAGCGUAUAUUAAAGUUGUUGCAGUUAAAAAGCUCGUAGUUGAAUUUCGGGAUUCGUCCAUUGGUCAGGCUUAACUGUCUGUACUGGUGUGUCGGAUUUCUACCUUCUGAAGAACCUUUAUGCCAUUAAUUUGGUGUGUUGGGGAAUCAGGACUGUUACUUUGAAAAAAUUAGAGUGUUUAAAGCAGGCUAACGUCUGAAUACAUUAGCAUGGAAUAAUGAAAUAGGACGGUACGGUUCUAUUUUGUUGGUUUCUAGGAUCGCCGUAAUGAUUAAUAGGGAUAGUUGGGGGCAUUAGUAUUCAAUUGUCAGAGGUGAAAUUCUUGGAUUUAUUGAAGACUAACUACUGCGAAAGCAUUUGCCAAGGAUGUUUUCAUUAAUCAAGAACGAAAGUUAGGGGAUCGAAGACGAUCAGAUACCGUCGUAGUCUUAACCAUAAACUAUGCCGACUAGGGAUUGGACGAUGUUAAUUUUUUAAUGACUCGUUCAGCACCUUACG
rnacentral:rRNA from 1 species